AGCACUGUUUGAGAAGGAUUAGAGGGAUGAGGAAGUGCGGCCAUGUUGGAGGAAGUGUAACAGUGGGGUGUGCUGUGUGGAUCCGGAUGUAGAACUCUCAGCUAAUUCUCUAGCACCAAGUAUCGCUGGAUGCUACCAUGCUCCCUGCCAGGAUGAUAAAGGACUAAGCUUUGAAAGUGCUCAUUUUAUGUGUGAACCUGAUUCUCAGCGUGGGAAAAAUACUAGCACCAAAUGCACGAGAGAAACACACCAAGGAAUUUCUGGUGGUAUUCCACUUCCAAGGAUCCUCGAGGUUUCUGCUGGAUGGAGCCACUGCUGCUGACUUUGGUGUUUGCUAUUGGACUGGACUGCUGAUAUCCUGACAACAAAGAUUGGAACUACCCCUAAAAACUACUUCUAAUGUACACUAUGUGUUUCUGCACUAACUUCCUGAAUGACUUCCUGGAUUGUGUUGCUGGAGAUGGCUCUCUGUGGACUCCUGUAUCAAUGUUUCCCUGGCAUGGGGGCAGAGCAGUCUCAGUGGUAUGUUUCUAGCUGCUGUCCCAGCCUAAAGGAUUUAAUUAUGCGUGAAGAGUUGAAACUGGAUUAUUUCUUGUUUCUUGAAUGUUGUAUGUUCCAGGCUUUGAGCCUUAGCCUACCUGAAACUCUUUCUUGCUAUCUACAGACAACCUUAUGUUUCUGGGGUCAUCUCAAAUGCUGUUCUUUCUAUAAAAUAUUUGUCCUA
rnacentral:lncRNA from 1 species